AAAAAUUAUUUCAUUUCAAAAUGGCUGCUAUAGUUAGAUGGAACAUUAUUCAUAAUGAGUCGCUACACUUCUUACGAUAAACACAGCGAUUACAAUGUCAUCGUAUUACAUUCAUUAAUGAUUGAUCUAUAUUCUUUCUAACAGUAUCAGUAAAAUAUUAGCCUUGAGUAGAAAAUCAAUAAAAUAAAAACAACCAUUGCAAACCUCAGAAAUAGACCAUCGCUUGUAUUAUGGAAGUUUUAACUGACCUUAACCUUGAUCAUUUUGUUUAGGCCUAUGUCUUGCUAAACACAAGCCAGGCCUACAAUAUUUUAGCCAAUAUUCAGCUUUAUUUUUAUGUUUAAGCUUAUUAAUAAUUGUACGCAUAAACUUUGAUCAAAAAUGCACUUUUCAUCUCAAAUAAAUUGCUGAAAAUCAGUUAUUAGCAGUUGUACUUUUUAUGUUACUUUUUUGUGUUACAAAGUUGUAUGCAAAUGUAUUACCUUUGAACUCUGCCCAACCAAUCAUUUUAGAAAGAUAUCAAAACAUUAGUAAUCGGCCUAGGCCUACUGUUUGUCAGCGCAGAAGACGUAGCAUUCGUGAACGUUAAACGUGGACAGCGGACAUUGUUACAAUAUCUAAUCCAGAUCUAUAAAGUAGAACUGAGUUUACAGAGCAAACUACACUUUCUUAUUUGAGUAGUUAUUAAGGAUCUUGCUCCAAAAUGUCAGAUGAAAAAUAUUUAGAUCAACUUGAUAAAUAUAACAUUGACCAAGACAAAUACGAAAACCAUGCACACAGUGGAAAGGGGAGGACCAAAAAAGAAGCAGCGCAACAUCAUCAUGAAGAUCCAAGUGGUCACACGAGAAAAGAUGUUCAGAAACUUGUAAACAACUCACAUAAACAAGCAGAAAAGAAAGCAAGCAAAGAAAAAUAAUGUCUGCCUGGUCAUAUUUAUUACUCAACCAAAUGAUGAAAAGGUUUUUAUGUGGAACUGAUUACUGAAUAGCGAUUUGAUUCUCAAUGGCUGAUGACUAUUUGUUUUGAAAUCAGUCACUUGAGGUGGGCAGCUAUGGAUACUUUACCAACUGUCCAUUUUAUCAUCUUCAUCACUGCAUCAACUUACAGAUGUCAUUGAAUUAAACAGAAUGCAUCUGUUUCAUUUUAAUUCAUGUUGAGCACCAUUGUAAUACCAACCCUUCCUGUUACUGUACUUUAAUGAACAUGGUUGUUGGGAUUUGUUUUAAUUUUUUUGCAGUUGUUUUUCAUGUUAAUUGUUAUACACACCUUGCUGUGUUAAGAAAUAAAUGUGUUAAUGUUGCUGCAUAACUGCA